rnacentral:rRNA from 1 species
AUGUGGAAACAGAGAUCAAGGAUCAAAUGGCUGCGAGAAGGAGACAAGAACACAGAGUUUUUCCAUAGGAAGGCUACCUGGAGGAGAAAGAAAAACAAGAUAGCCAAACUGAGGAGAGAGGACGGAUCAUGGGCAGAUAACAGAGAGCAGAUUCACAGUGAAAUCAAUAAUUACUUCAAGGGUCUAUAUGAGAAGGACAAUGCGGUGGAUCCUCAACCACUGAUAGAUUUGAUCCCCAACAAGGUUGAGAGUUAUAUGAAUGAUGCGCUGAUUAAGCCGUUCACAGAAAAAGAGAUCAGAGACGCAUUGUUCCAGAUUGGUCCGUUAAAGGCUCUGGGACCGGACGGCUUCCCCGCAUGGUUCUUUCAAAAGAAUUGGGCUGUUCUCAAAGAGGAGAUAAUUGAAGGUGUUCUUAGCUUCUUUGAGAAGGGGGAGAUGCCGGAAGGGGUGAAUGUGACCACGAUUGUUCUAAUCCCAAAAACAAAUGACCCUCAAAGCAUCAAGGAUUAUCGCCCAAUCAGUCUAUGCAACGUUCUGUACAAAAUUAUCUCCAAGGUGUUGGUCAAUAGGCUGAGACCCUUCCUCGAUGAUCUCAUUUCUGAAACGCAAAGCGCCUUCAUCCCAGGAAGAAUGAUAGCAUUUGAAUGUUUCCACAAGAUACAUAACUUUAAAAAUAAGAGGGACACUCACUGUGCAUACAAACUAGACCUCGCAAAAGCUUAUGAUCGUGUUGACUGGAUCUUCUUGGAGGGAGCUCUAAGAAAAUGGGGUUUUGACGAAAAAUGGAUCAAAUGGGUAAUGACAUGUGUCAGAUCAGUGAAGUUUUCAGUUCGGUGCAAUGGGGAGAUGUUGGAUCUGUUUACCCCAACUAGGGGUUUAAGACAAGGUGACCCACUAAGCCCAUAUUUAUUUUUAUUUGUGGCUGACGGUUUAGUUUCUCUUCUGAAGAAAGAGUCAGACUUGGGAGGCAUAACAACCAUCAAAAUUGCACGUGCAAGUCCGGGGAUUUCAAACCUUCUGUUCACCGACGACAGCCUGCUUUUUUUCAAAGCUACGGUUGAUCAGGCGCGAAAGGUGAGAGAGGUGUUGGAAGCUUAUCAAAAUGCAACGGGCCAACUGCUUAGUCAGGCCAACUGCUCCUUGCUCCUGUCAGACUCAACACCAUCCCAAGUCAGAGAAAGCAUCAAGAAGACAUUGGGUGUUGAGGCAAUUUGCUUCGAUAGUAAGUACCUAGGGCUCCCCACCCCCGAAGGCAGAAUGAAGGAUGAUAAAUUCCAGCCGAUCAUAGAGAGGUUUGGAAAGAGGUGUAAUGGGUGGAAUGAAAGGUUCAUGUCACAGGCAGCAAAGGAGGUGAAUGUUAAAGCUGUGGCACAAGCUCUUCCCACUUUUAUCAUGGGCGUUUUUAGAUUAAACCAAAGCUUUUGUGACAAGUAUGAAAAGCUUAUAAGAGAUUUCUGGUGGGGGGAUAAAGAGGAGAAGAGGAAGGUGCACUGGAUGUCAUUGGAGGAUAUGACAAGGCCUAAGAGAGCUGGUGGUAUAGGUUUUCGUGAUAUGCACCUUUUUAACCAAGCGUUGCUAUCCAGACAAGGUUGGAGACUAAUCCAAAAUCCAGAUAGUCUAUGUGCGAGGGUCCUUAAGUCCAAAUAUUUUCCAAAUGGGAACAUCACCGAUACUGUAUUUGCGUCCGAUGUAUCCCGUCAUGGAGAGGUAUUGAGUUUGGUCUGGAACUACUUAAAAAGGGCCUUAUUUGGAGAAUUGGAAAUGGAAGGAGGAUACAAAUAA